rnacentral:rRNA from 1 species
UACGAAGGGGGCUAGCGUUGCUCGGAAUUACUGGGCGUAAAGGGCGCGUAGGCGGACAGCUUUGUCAGGCGUGAAAUUCCAGGGCUUAACCUUGGGGCUGCGUUUGAGACGGGUUGUCUUGAGUGGGGAAGAGGGUCGUGGAAUUCCCAGUGUAGAGGUGAAAUUCGUAGAUAUUGGGAAGAACACCGGUGGCGAAGGCGGCGACCUGGUCCAUUACUGACGCUGAGGCGCGACAGCGUGGGGAGCAAACAGG